ACCUGCGGCUGGAUCACCUCCUUAAUCGAAGAUCUCAGCUUCUUCAUAAGUUCCCACACGAAUUGCUUGAUUCAUUGCGAAGACGAUUGGGUCUGUAGCUCAGUUGGUUAGAGCGCACCCCUGAUAAGGGUGAGGUCGGCAGUUCGAAUCUGCCCAGACCCACCAAUGUUGAGGGGCGCAGGCUUCAAGACAUUGGGGCCAUAGCUCAGCUGGGAGAGCGCCUGCUUUGCACGCAGGAGGUCAGGAGUUCGAUCCUCCUUGGCUCCACCACCUCUCGUUAGAGUUUAGAAAUGAGCAUUUUCAGCCUGGCUGAUGAAUGUUGAUUUCUGGUCUUUACCGGAAUCGUUCUUUAAAAAUUUGGGUAUGUGAUAGAAGUGACUUGUUGAGUGUUUCACUGCACUCAGCAACUCAAGGCAAAAUUUGCGAGUUCAAGCGCGAAUUUUCGGCGAAUGUCGUAUUCACCAACCAACCACAAGCUUCGCUGUGAAGCAGAUUGCUUGGGGUUAUAU
rnacentral:tRNA from 1 species